AUGGGAGAGAAAGUGCACUGGCCAUCUCAUAAGCACAUAGAUGUUUACACCAAAGACUUGAUAAAGCAACUGAGGGAAAACAAUGUAAAUAUUGGGAAAGUAUACAACAUCAUUGGGAGCUUUUUUGGUUCAGUGGAAAAGGUCCCCUUCACGAAGAGGACACUAAGGAAUAUCUGUGGCCAGAUUAGCCGUGAACAAGCUGAAGACGACGUUCGGAAGACACUUCAAGCGUUUGCUGACAUCUGA
rnacentral:rRNA from 1 species